UUUGGAACUUACUCAUCACUUUUAUUCCCAGUUAAUUAAUUAUCAUGUCGAUGACCCCUGAAACUUUUCCAAAUUUUUUUCCUCUUCAGUUGUAGGAUUAUAAGCGGGCACAAAAGUCUUGAAAGAACUCAGCCGUUCCUCAAUGACAGUGGCUUAAACCAUAAAAAUAUGUAUUGUUUUCUUAGUUUAAAACCCUCACAAUCUCGGCCAGGGAGCUCAGUGAUGUCAGCAAGAAUCCAGGCUUAUUCUUCCUGCUUUACCAUGUUUUCAUUUUUUUUGCAUCUUCCAAGUUACAGGUGUCUGUCAUAGCUCAAGGCAGGUUAUAGUCAUCUUCAGAGCAGGAAGAAGGGGAAAUCUAACAUUAGUCUCAAGACUAUCUCUUUCACUGGGAAAUAAAUUUACUUUUUAGAACCACCUCCACUGAGCAGAAUGUCUCUGUGAUCACUUGGUUACUCCCACCUCAUAUCCAACUCCCCUCACCCUUGGCCAUUCAGCUGCAGUCACAGUGACUUGAAAAGCUGGAGACAUUCUCACCUCUGGGCUCUGAAGAAACAGUCCUUUCUUUCCCUCCUGUUAUCUGAAAGACACUCUCUCAUCUUCUUGCUCAAACAUCUGUUCUUUCUGUGGACUCCUUGACCAAUUGUUUAUUUGAAUAUCCUCAUCCCCAGUUCUAUUUUCUCUCUUCUGGGCAUUUCCAGUAUGUGCUAGGAUGUGAGUUCUCUGGGUUUUCCCUAUCUAAUAACUUGUUUCAUCUUUUUUCCCUUUGCUGUGUGGUCUGGUCAUUUUGCUCAAUUUUAUUUCCAAUGUGCUAAUUCUUUUUUUAAUAGCUCUGGAUUAUUUUUAAAUUAUUUGCUGUGUAUUUUUUAUUUUAAAGAACUCUUCUUGGUCUAUAAUUACUCCUAUUCUCCAAUAACUUGUUCUUGACUUAUGGAUGAUAUAUGUUCUCAAAUAUCUCGAAGGACACAUUCAAAUUUUAAAAUUCUCUACUUUUUUUUAUAUCAUUUCUAUGUCUAAGAUCUGCUAAUCUGUUUGUCCACCUUGGUCUUUCUCUUACAGACUAUUAGUAUUCUUCAAAUGCCUAGUUAUUCUUGGUUAUACAUUCAUAUUUAUUAACAUAAUUUUAUAUUACUCAGCAUAAAUUGCUAUCAUACUUUUUUUAGUAGUGUAAGUCUGUGUACCUGAAUAGGAAGAGCUCAUUGAGAGUUCCAUGAAAGUUGAUGGAUUCUGUUGAAAAUCAAGCUUUCCUUUAUAGU
rnacentral:lncRNA from 10 species